UACGUAGGGUGCGAGCGUUAAUCGGAAUUACUGGGCGUAAAGCGCACGUAGGCGGCUUUUUAAGUCAGGGGUGAAAUCCUGGAGCUCAACUCCAGAACUGCCUUUGAUACUGAGAGCUUGAGUCCGGGAGAGGUGAGUGGAACUGCGAGUGUAGAGGUGAAAUUCGUAGAUAUUCGCAAGAACACCAGUGGCGAAGGCGGCUCACUGGCCCGGUACUGACGCUGAGGUGCGAAAGCGUGGGGAGCAAACAGGG
rnacentral:rRNA from 1 species